rfam:Cricetulus griseus cell line CHO-K1, whole genome shotgun sequence.
GUGGGCAUCUUACCGGACAGUGCUGGAUUUCUUGACUUGACUCUAACACUGUCUGGUAACGAUGUUCAA